CUAAGUUCUGGUAAAGAACUACUCUACUCUUCUUUCCUGCUGACUUGAAUGUGGACAUGAUGACUGGAGCUUGAGCAGCAAUCUUAAACCGUGAGGUGGAAACUAUUAUUCAGGAUGCAGACAGAAGAAGCUUGGAAAUCUGAAGAUUGUGGCACCAAGAUUUCAGCCUGGACAGCUACUUUGCAGGAGAAAAUGUCCUCAGAGGUGGCAGUUCCCAGAUCUCAACUCUUCCUGGGGUAGAGUGGGAUGCCAUGCACAGAAGGAAGGAGAGGAAAAGAGAUAUGCCAGCAAAGGCUCUGCGAUUGCAUGGACUCUGGCUUUCCUUGGAUUCACGGUAAAAGAAUUCACUUUGAUCCAGUUCUUCAAAGCUUCCAAUUACCUACGGGAUAAGGAUCGUG
ensembl:lncRNA